rnacentral:rRNA from 1 species
GAGCGCAACCCUUAUCUUUAAUUGCCAGCAUUCAGUUGGGCACUUUAAAGAGACUGCCGGUGUUAAACCGGAGGAAGCGGGGAUGACGUCAAGUCCUCAUGGCCCUUAUGUCCAGGGCUACACACGUGCUACAAUGGCCGGUACAAAGGGUAGCAAGACCGCGAGGUGGAGCCAACCCCAAAAAGCCGGUCUCAGUUCGGAUUGGAGUCUGCAACUCGACUCCAUGAAGUUGGAAUCGCUAGUAAUCGUGGAUCAGCAUGCCACGGUGAAUACGUUCCCGGGGUUU